GGGCUGUAGCUCAGUGAGUGGUACAGCAUCUGCUUUGCAUGCAGAAAGUUCCAGGUUUAAUCCCUAACAGCUCCA